rnacentral:lncRNA from 1 species
UUCCCUUUUCUUAUGGAUCCAGAAGUUCUGAAAAGUACACUCAAUCCGUGAAGCCAUUAGGAGCUGAAAUACUGUUAGGCUUUUGCUCAGUCAUCCUUACACUGCGAUUUUUGUUCUCAAGCUUUUUGUUACCUCAGGGUCACAAGAUGACUUCAGGCAGGAUAACAGGGACCUGAAAGUUAUGGCCACAGAGUGAGUAGGAAUUUUGAGCCCAGCCGGACCAGGCCAGGCCAGACCACAGUGAUGGGGGAGGGAGCUCCACUGCCCGAGGAGAGCAGUGAGGAGCACAGUUCACGCAACAGGAUGAAGCUGGCCGAGGAGGAUAACCCCCUCUGGUGCCCACGUGCAGGCUGUCUAUAGCAACCUGGUCUGAUGACAUCGAGAGGACAUGGAAUGAAAGUAACAAAUGACAACUUUUAAAAAAUCUAGAGAAAACUUUCUUUAUGAAAAAUAAGAAGGCACCCCCGAGGGCUCUUUCUCUAAUGAACCACAUUCGCCUUAAAGGAAAUACCUGGGAGUGUCCCAGACCCUUCAGAGGGCUGAGGUUGGGGAUGUAGCCUGAGAGAUCCAUGUUCCCAUUGAUCUUUCCUAGUGAAACGUCCUGUGUGUCUUCUCAGGCAUGGUGUGGCAGAUGCCUGUGGAGCUGCCUUCAUCCAUCAGUCGCAUGCAGUGCCCUCUUUCCAACACUGUGUGCUCUUCCUCAAAGGGGAAAAACCCACGCUUUAUCAGUAGCCCUCCCUGUUUCAUGAAAACAUCAGGCACCCAAGUUCUAUCUGUCUUGUUGCUUCAUCAUCUCUAAGGAGUUACCAUCAUCUAAAUAAUCUAAAACUGGUUGCCACUACAUCCAGUUCCAGCCAGUGGAAGGAGGGAGGGAGAAAGCAGGUGCACCUCAUUUUUAAGGAUAUGAUCUAGAAAGCUCUCAUCCAUUGGCCACCACUUAAAGCUUUAUUCUGAGCAUCUUGUAUGCUUGACCUUUGCUUUCCUAGAAUUUAUGUUCUCCUGGGGAACACAAGGGAGAAACAGUAUGUAAUGCGUCAGGGAGUGAUAAAUGCUAAUAAGAAGGUAAAAGUGCAGUUAAGGGAUAGAGAUAGAGAUGGCACUUGAGAUAAAGUCAGGAACAGCCUUGUUGAGAAGGGUACGUGUAUUCAGGGAUCUGAAGGGAAGUGGGCUCCAGGGAGGAGGAACAGCAUGUAUAAAUGCCCUGUGGUGGGAAUGGGCUGUGCAUAUUUAGGGAGCAGGGGUGUGGCCAGUGCACCUGGAGGAAGUGAAAUUGCAGCAAUGUCAGUGGGAUCAUAGAGACCACUGUUGGCUAGGGUAAAGUAAUGGUCUUGAAUGUGAGUGAGAUGAAAACCUCUGCAAAUUUAUGACAUGAUGGAAUAUUUUUUUGGAAAAAAACAUUUAAAAAAAUUUAAGUUAUAAUAUCUGCAGUCUGUGUAAACGUAAGAGCUAAAACUAUAAAACUCUUAGAACAAAACAUAGGACAGAAGCUUUAUGACACAGGAUUUGGCAGUGAUUUUGUAGAUGUGACACCAAAGAAACAGGCAAUGACAGAAGCAAUAGGCAAAUUCGACAUCAAAAUUUUAAAUGUUUAUGCAUCAAAGAAUACAAUCAACAGAAUAAAAAGGCAACCUAUACAAUGGGAGAAAAUAUUUAAAAAUCAUAUAUCUGAACAUUUGCUUAUCACAUAUCUAAUAAUGCCCAGAGUAUAUAAAGAACUCCUAAAAUUCAGCAGUAACUAAACAACCCAAUUCAAAAAUGGGUGAAAGUUGCAAAACCAUAUGAAUGUACUUAAUGGACACUAAAAAAAUCACUAACAAUGGCUAAUUUUGUUAUGUAUAUUUUACCACAAUUUUUAAAAAAUGAAUUAUAAAAUGAAUAGGCAAAGAACCUGAAAAGAUAUUUCACCAAAGAAGUUAUCCAAAUGGCCAGUAAACACAAGAUGCUCAACAUUGCUAAUCAUUAAGGAAUACAAAUCAAAACCACAAUGACAGAACACCUCACACCGAUUAGGUAUGAUCAAAAACUGGAAAUUGGAACCCUUAUGCACUGCUGAUGGGAAUGUAAAGUGGUGUGGCUGCUGUGGAAAGCAGCCUGUAAGUUCCUCAAAAAAUUAAACAGGAGUUCCUGUUGUGGCACAGCAGAAACGAAUCUGACUAGGAACCAUGAGAUUGCAGGUUCAAUCCCUGUCCUUACUCAUGGAUUAAGGAUCUGGCAUGGCCAUGAGCUGUGGUGUGUAGGUCGCAGACGUGGCUCAGAUCUCAUGUUGCUGUGGCUGUAGCGUAAGCCAGUGGCUACAGCUCUGAUUAGACCCCUAGCCUGGGAACCUCCAUAUGCCAUGAGCGUGGCCCUAAAAAGGAAAAUAAAAGGGGGGGGAUUAUUUCACUCAAUCGAAGGAAAAUUGCAGCCAUUACAAUAAUGAUGAUUAUGUAUCAAUGUAUAAUAUGCUUUGAAGUUAUGUUAAAUCAAGAAAGAUUACAAAACAGCACUCAGACUGGGAGUCCAGCUAUGUCAGGAAGUGUGUACACAAAAAGAGAAAAAAAUAUUCUGAUCACCUACUGUGUGCUUGGCCUCCUGCUGAGUCUUAAGGAUACACAAAUUAGUAAAAUGUGGUCAUGUUAUGGCUCUUUGUCAUUAUGCUUGCACACAGUGAUGUGCAGGUAAGUGUUUAGUAGCCAUGUAUUGGGGUUAGGGGGAGGGAAGUGUUUUGUAAUUUUGCCAGUUUCUAUGGUGUAAGCAUUUCCAGUGUGGCUGACUUCAAGCUGCCAAUGGAACUUUACUGAAAAGAAAAGAUGCACACAGUAGCUCUUCAGCGUCAGUACAAGCUGGCUCCUGCGUGUCCCAGGAGCCUUCCUCUGCCUAAUGUCUACCAGUUGGGAGGUGGUUGUUAAAUAAACAGUAAUUUAUUCAUAGAAUGGGAUUCUCAUCAUUCAUGAGAAAAAUCAAACUGUUUCUUUUUUUUAUGGCCGUACCCAAGGCAAUGAAAGUUCCCAGGCCCAGGAUCAGAUCCUUUUAAAUCUAGUGCUCUGCGGUCAGAUUCUAUUUUUUUUUUAACUUUUUUUUUUUUUUUUUUUGCUUUUUAGGGCCUCACCCAAGGCAUACGGAAGUUCCCAAGCUAGGGGUCAAAUCAGAGCUGCAGCUGCCAGCCUGCACCACAGCCACAGUAACACUGUGGGAUCUGAGCUGUGUCUGUGACCUUCACCACAGUUCACAGCACCACUGAAUCCUUAACCCACUGAGCAAGGCCAGGGAUUGAACCUACAUCCUCAUGGAUACCAGUUGAGUUCCUUACUGGUGAGCCAUGACAGGAACUCCUGCAGGUCAGAUUUUUAACCCACUGUGCCACAGUAGGAACUCCCAGAAGAUCACACUUUGAAGUAAUCAGUCAUAUUUGAAAAAGUUCAAGGUUUAUCUUCAAGUUUAAACACAACUAGGUGUGAGUGAGAACAAUGAAAAUCGAGGUAUAAGGAUUAUGAGGAUAUCUCCUCCAUAAAAUCAAACAGGAUAUUGGCAGAAAUUGUCCAAGUCCACGUUCUGACAAGUAUGGAAAUUAGCCAGUCUUGACACCACCUAAAGAACAUUUAUUCAGGAGUUCCUGUCGUGGUGCAGUGGAAACAAAUCCGACUAAGAACAAUGAGGCUGCAGGUUCGAUCCCUGGCCUCGAUCAGCAGGUUAAGGAUCUGGCAUUGCUGUGAGCUGUGGUGUAGGUCACAGACUCUGCUCGGAUCCUGCAUUGCUGUGGCUUGGUGUAGGCCUGCAGCUGUAGCUCCAAUUGGACCCCCAGCCUGGGAAUCUCCAUAUGCCGCGGGUUCAGCCCUAAAAAGCCAAAAAGAAAAAGAACAUUUAUUCAAGAAUAGGUGAACAGAGAGUUCCCAUUGUGGCACAGUGGAAACGAAUCUGAAUAGUAUCCAUGAGGAUGUAGCUUUGAUUCCUGGCCUCAAUCAGUGGGUCAUGGAUCUGGUGUUGCUGUGAGCUGUGGUGAAGGUCGCAGCCAAGGCUCAGAUCCGGCAUUGCUAUGGAUGUAGUGUAGGCCUGGAAACUUACAUUUGCCACUGGUGUGGCCCUAAAACUUGCCCUAGGCUCAUCCUCUAUUGUCCAGGUUCACAGUACCUUCAAAAAUAACAGCCUGCUGGAGUUCCCAUUGUGGCUCAGUGGAAAGGAAUCUGACUAGUGUUCAUGAAGACCUAGGUUUGAUUUCUGGCCUCGAUCAGUGGGUUAAGGAUCUGGCAUUGCCAUGGCUGUGGUGUAGGCCAGUGGCUACAGACCUAUUUGACCCCUAGCCUGGGAACCUCCAUAUGCCUCAGGUGCAGCCCUAAAAAGACCAAAAAAAAACACCAAAUAGCCUGCAAUUCUGGUGCAGCAUAACUGCUACCUGAGGAGGGCAUUCUCACAUGGCUGCCAUUGCUUGAACUGUCUGGUAGUUCCCUGAAAGUUGCAAGUUACCUGGGUUUUGUAUUUGGCCUGACUUGGAGCUCACCCAGUGUGAAAAGUCUUCUCUCUAGGGGACAUUAAAACAAACAGACAAACAGUUACAAGCAAGUGUUUAACUAUGUGAUUGUUAGAGGCAGCAGAUAAGACUUGGGUCAAUCAAUAGACCUAAAACAUAAAUAAAACAGGAGUUCCCGUCGUGGCGCAGUGGUUAACGAAUCCGACUAGGAACCAUGAGGUUGCGGGUUCAGUCCCUGCCCUUGCUCAGUGGGUUGACAUCUGGCGUUGCCAUGAGCUGUGGUGUAGGUUGCAGACGCGGCUCGGAUUCUGAGUUGCUGUGGCUCUGGCCUAGGCCGGCGGCUACAGCUCCAAUUAGACCCCUAGCCUAGGAACCUCCAUAUGCCGCGGGGAGCGGCCCAAGAAAUAGCUAAAAGACAAAAAA